GAUGAACGCUAGCGGCAGGCCUAACACAUGCAAGUCGAGGGGUAGCAGGAUUAAGCUUGCUUAAUUGCUGACGGCCGGCGCACGGGUGCGUAACGCGUAUGCAACCUACCUUAUACUGGGGUAUAGCCCGGAGAAAUUCGGAUUAAUCCCCCAUAGUACUAAUGAAUCGCAUGGUUUAUUAGUUAAAGCAUUGCGGUAUAAGAUGGGCAUGCGUCCUAUUAGCUAGAUGGUGAGGUAACGGCUCACCAUGGCUACGAUAGGUAGGGGGCCUGAGCGGGUGGUCCCCCACACUGGUACUGAGACACGGACCAGACUCCUACGGGAGGCAGCAGUGAGGAAUAUUGGUCAAUGGGCGCAAGCCUGAACCAGCCAUGCCGCGUGCAGGAAGAAUGCCCUAUGGGUUGUAAACUGCUUUUAUUUGGGAAUAAACCUCUUUACGUGUAGAGAGCUGAAGGUACCAAAUGAAUAAGCACCGGCUAACUCCGUGCCAGCCGCCGCGGUAA
rnacentral:rRNA from 1 species